rnacentral:rRNA from 1 species
AACGAACGCUGGCGGCAGGCCUAACACAUGCAAGUCGAACGAACCGUUUACGGUGAGUGGCGCACGGGUGAGUAACACGUGGGAAUAUACAUUUCGGUAAGGAAUAACGUAGAGAAAUUUACGCUAAUACCUUAUAAUGACUACGGUCCAAAGAUUUAUCGCCGAAGGAUUAGCCCGCGUUAGAUUAGGUAGUUGGUAGGGUAGUGGCCUACCAAGCCUACGAUCUAUAGCUGGUCUUAGAGGAUGAUCAGCCACACUGGAACUGAGACACGGUCCAGACUCCUACGGGAGGCAGCAGUGAGGAAUAUUGCGCAAUGGGGGAAACCCUGACGCAGCCAUGCCGCGUGAGUGACGAAGGCCUUAGGGUUGUAAAGCUCUUUCAGAUGUAAAGAUAAUGACGGUAACAUCAGAAGAAGCUCCGGCUAAAUUCGUGCCAGCAGCCGCGGUAA